rnacentral:tRNA from 1 species
GUUAUUAUAGUUUAAUCAAAACAUUAGAAUGUGACCCUAAAAAUAGAAGAUAGUGCCUUCUUAAAGACC